UUUGCAGUACCCUAAAAACCACUCACCAGAAUGGGAGGUUGUAAUCUUAGUUUCAUACAAGACAUUAGCUUCCACAUGUAAAUAAAACAUAACAGAUCAGUUUUAUUCAUUACUAUUAACACCCUUUAUUCACACAACAUAUAAAAAAACAUAGAUUGCAAAGUAUGGACCAUGGAGAGCUGAAAUGCACUACCACAGAGGUUAUAUGCUGCAUCAGUAGCCGCCAGUGCCGCAUCUGUGGGCUUCUCAGCAAGAGUGAGACUUUCACCUUCAGCUUCUUUUAUCUGCCUCAUGAUGUCUAACUUUGUUUCAGAUUAGUUUUAUUCAUUACUGUUAACACCCUUUAUUCACACAACAUAUAAAUAAAACAUAGAUUGCAAUGUAUGGACCAUGGACAGCUGAAAUGCACUACCACAGAGGUUUUAUGCUGCAUCAGUAGCCACCAGUGCCGCAUCUGUGGGCUUCUCAGCAAGAGCGAGACUUUCACCUUCAGCUUCUUUUAUCUGCCUCAUGAUGUCUAACUUUGUUUCACGAAGGGCUUCUAUUUUGCCAUUAAUCUUCUCUAGCUUCUGUUUCAACUUUCCAACAUCCUUGGACUUGUCCUUCUUAUCAACUUUUCUUUUUUUCUCGCCCUUGUCCUUUUUAUCUUUGUCUUUCUUCUCUUUACCUUCCUUUACUUCAUCUUUCUGGCUCUGUUCCUCCAUUUCAUCCUCUGAUUCCUUGACAUGUUCUAUUUCAAUCUCCCUAGAAGUAACUUCAACCUUGGUCUUUUCCUCAUCCUCUACAUUAUUGUGUUUCUCCUUUCUCUCCUUCUUGUCUAUUUUCUCUUCUUUUUUCUCGUCCUUCUUCUUCUCGUUCCCAUCAUCAUCACCCUUGUGUUUCUUCUUUUUAUCAUCUUUGUCUUUAUUCUUCUUCCCUUCUUUUUUGCUGUCAUUGUCUUUUUCCUCAUCCUUUUUCUUCUCCUUCUCAUCAUCAUCACCCUUGUGUUCCUUUUUUUUCUCCUCCACAUCUUUCUGCUUCUUCCCUUCUUUUUUGUUGUCAUCGUCUUUUUCCUCAUCCAUUUUCUUCUCCUUCUCAUCAUCAUCACCCUUGUGUUUCUUCCUUUUCUCCUCCACAUCUUUCUUCUUCUUCCCUUCUUUUUUAAUGUCAUCAACCUUUUCCUCAUCAUUUUUCUUCUCUGUUCCAUCAUCAUCAUUCUCAUGUUCCUUCCCUUUCUUCUCUUUCUUCUUCUUCUUCUUCUUAUUCUCUUCUUUUUCCUCAUCCACAUUAUCCGCAUCCUCCUCUUUUUUAUCUGUGUCCUUCCUUUUCUCUUCAUCUUCUUUCACCUUGACCUGAUCCUUCUUUUCCUUCUUCGACUCUUUUUCAUCCAUAUCUUUCUCUUUGUGUUUAUAAUCAUCCUUGCCUUCAAUCUCUUCUUCCCCUUCAUCUAAAUCUUUACCCUUUUCCUUCUUCUCUUUUUUAUUUUUCUUCUUUUUAUCUUUUUCCUCCCCCUCUCUAUCAUCUUCUUUAUCUUCUGAGCCUAUAAUAUCUUUGUUCUUCUCCUUUUUCUUCUUCUUCUCUUCCUUGUCCUUCUUUUUAUCCCCGUUGCUCUGUUUCUCUUCCUCGUCCUUCUCUUUGCCACUCUUGUUUUUUUUCUUCUUUUCCUUCUUGGUUAUGUCUUUCUCCUUCUUCUUUGAUUUCUCCUCAUCUUUAUCAAUAUGUUUCUCCUCAUCCUUUUUAUGUUUUGGCUUCUCUUUUACCACUGACUUGGUCUUUAAUUCAAGUUCCACCUCAGCCUUCUCCUUCUUUAAUUCACCUGGUUGUGCAUCCUUGGUCUUGACCACUACAUGGGAUUCUUCCUUUUCAACCCUUUCUUCCCCUGGAUGUUCAAUUUUGUCUUCCAUCUCCAGAUUAUAUCCUAAAAUUUUAAAUGUAAAACUGUUUCCUCUGGACCUGAGAUUACCCGAAACAAAUGUAAAUGUAAGACGAGUAAUCUGAGAACAAAUGCAGUAGAAUAUGAAAAUCCUAAUACUUGGUGAAUUAUAAAAUCUCAUAAUUAACAAGAACAAGAAAAGCCAUUGUGUUUGCCUAAAUAAGAAUAAAUUGUUUACGUUUAGAGCUCUGUAGUCAGCACAUCACAGCCAAUGCUUAAACAAUUGGAAGAUUACAAAUAUUUCAUCUACAUGUUUUACUAUAAAAAUGCAAGCUAAUGAAACUUAUAUUCCUUUCUUCAAUCCUCAUGAAAAAUCGACCCAAAGAGUCUGCUGGCGAAGUGGAUACGGUUGAACAACGCCGUCAGGGCGGCCCCAUUGAUCGGCCCGAUGCCGCAGAUGCCGGUCCAUGUACUAAUUAAAAUAAAUAUUUAAGCUUCAAAAUAUGCAGUUUUGACUGAUCACUGCUAGAAAGUUAUAUCAAAUGUCUCGUCUUUUUCGUAUAUAGUUCCUAGAAUAUUACUAGAGUAGAGACUGACUAUCAAUUUUGGUGUGCAAAACUGACAACUUGAAAAGGUAUGGAGGAUGGAUCUCAAGCAAUGAAAAAUUUCAAAGAUGUGAAAUUCAAUAGGACUGCAAGAUUGGAUUAUAGACCAUAGACCUCAUUACAUUCUGCUUUGUUGCACACACUAGUUCCUGAAAGCAAAAGUAAGGCUCUCCCCAGACAAAAGGGGAUUCUUUCAUCUACUAUGAUAUGAUUGGUUCUGAGGAAAAACUAUCACUCUAUCCAAGUUUGCUACAAACAGGAAUUUUGAGGCUUGUCUAGUCUACAAAAUAUCUUAGCAAAAGCAUUAGAAUCCCGUGGAAAGCCGUGUUCGAUGACAGUCGUAUGUAUGGGUUGGAGAGAUUAAUUUCAGCUGAUUCUGUUAUAGCCUAUAAUCUUUAAACAUUAGGGGGUUUCUUCCAAAUUGACUUUUAUUUUUGAUUUUCAACACAAAACACAUUUUGGUCCUUCACUGCUAUAUAUUUUUUUCUAAACAACGGUUUGAGUACAGAAUACGUACAGUAUUUGAUAACUUUUUCUCUACAUUCCCAAUACACAAAGUAAGUAAAUAAUUUGAUAAAAUCAAACUGAACUGAUAAAAGAAAGAAGAAAAAAAAGAAGCCAUUUACAGAUUCAAGAGAGAGACAGUGAGAGUGCACUUGAAUAGUAAGGAAUUAAGGAUCUGUCCUCAACUAUCUAAUUGCGUGCUUAAAUUGUGAAACCAGUAAGUAAACAAACCAAGAUGAACACAUCAAGUAAAAGCAACAACGACAAAACUUCAUUUCUCAUUCACAAUUCCAAAGACAAAGUAGCAGCAGCUAUAGACAUAUAGUGAUUUGCAAGAAAAAUUGGCAACAACUCCAAUUCUGUGUGUACCUUAAUUUGUGUUUCCCCAAAGGAAAAGAAGAAACCGAUACAGAUUGCUGUGUUGUGUUUGUAAGUAACAGUGAGAGAGAGAGAGAGAGAGAGAGAGAGAGAGCGAGAGAGCCUGUGGUUUUGCAGGUUAGCUUAGAGUGUGAAGAGUGGUGUGGCUAUUUGUUUUGUAUAUAUAUCCUAUUAGGAAUGAAGGCUGUUUGGGCAUUGAUUACUUCACAGAUAGCCACCUGUCAGUCUUUUCGUCAACACGGAAAGGACCGAAAUUUUACACGGACGGACCUUAAACCUUUGCGUACGUAUCCAUGGUUGUCUUUAACUCCCUCCUUCCUACGUCGGUUCUUUCUUCUCCAACACUUGCGACACCUGCGACUUGACAAAUAUCACACUUCUGACGCGGUUUAUUGGAAGUUUUAUUUCAUUAUUUACUGUCGUCCCCUUGAAACUGAGUGAUCCAUUUUACUCUCCUACCCGACCAACCAUUUUUUUACCUACUCUUAACUUCAUCCAGAAAUAUAUUAAUUUUGAUGAUGUGACAUGAAUAUUUUGAUAAAUUUGCACAAUUGAACCAAUUACUUGUCAAAUUCAGUGACUUAUCUAGCAAACUAGAGCCUACGUGUUGAAUGUAGCUUUUGCUUGCGUAAUUUUGCCCCAAAUUGGGGAGAUGAUGAUGAAAUUGGCCCUACUUGUGAGUGGUUAUAGUGUAAUACGGUAGUACGGUCAUGUUGUAUAACUUGUGUUGUGCUUUUUCACUGUGAAAUUCAAAGUUAACCACACCAUAAUAUAAACCACACUUGGAUAGAAUAAUAUAAACAAGAAAUAAAAAUAUUGUACAAGAGAUUGACAAGGUUUGGCAAAAUAAUGCCUACAUGCCCGAAUAGAGUACUUCACUAUGAGAAUACUAACAGUAUAAGAUACACUUGAGUUAAAUCAACAUAACCCAAACCCAAAACCCUUGUACACCCACUUACAAUGUUUACCAAGAACUCUAUCUCUCACCCACAUAUUUCUCCCUGUUUUUCACUCUCUCUGCGCUCUCUAACUUUCUCACGGAAUGCAACCAACACAAAACAAGCUACACUUCUAUUUAUAUAGAAGCCUUGAGUGGGCACCAAGCUAGGGGGAAGCGUCUGCAACAAGCUUCCUUCAAUAUGAAGACUUUACCUCCUCACAACUUUUACCAAAGCCAUCAUUGCAUGAAACUACCACUUGAUGCACUGCCUAUUAGCUACACCAAAAGUCAAAGAUUGCUACACUAUAUUUACCUUGUAGCUUAUCCCACACUUUUAACUUGUGGGUCCAAUUAUCAUAAUAUUUACACCAAUUUUAACAAUCUCCACCUUGGUGAAAAUGCCAUGCAAAACUCGGAGCAUCACUAAGAAUAAUUAAACCAUUGGCCUUCACAAAACACACCAGCUACACAUCACAUAAAUCAACAAAUUUGGCCCAAUCCCGAUUCAUGUUACACGACUAUUGAUGCUCAAAAUGGCUCGGCCAAUGUUGAGUCCAACUUAGUGAUGAGGUGUGUGGAGUCUUCAGUAGAGAAGAAGGCUAAGGCCUUUGAUAAGGGGGGAACCUGCAGAAGACAAAAUGGGAGAAGCAAUCGUUAAGCUUUGGACACCGGUGUGGUGCCGGCCAAAGGCUCUCCUAUGCUUAAGCCAGCUAUAAGUGGUAAUUUUGGCAAAGUAACAAUAAAGGUGAGAAAGUAGAUACCCUUUUUACUUGGGUACUGUUCCCUAUUUAUAAGGAGGUGAAAGUGGGAGGUUUGCACAAAGUUUCAAUGUGGGACUUUGUGCAAGUCGUCGUGGUGGCGACACGUGUCCUAGGGAUUAGGUUUGGCAAUUAGGAGCUUCGGCAGGUGUCUGGCACAUCGGAAGUGUGUCUUCCUUUGGCAAGGAAGAAGGCGUGGCUGUCUUGGUGCUAGUCGCUUUGAGGCUGAGUAUGCUCGAUUGAUUAUGGUGUAAACAGUAGUCCCCCAAGUUUGAGGUCAAGAAGUAACUUCUGGGUUGGGAACUUGUGAGUUUUCGUGACCGAGCAUUCCAGCUUUAGUGGGAGCCGUAAGGCAUUCCCUAAUCCCCCAAGUUGACAAGCUAGAAGUUGCGGCAACACUUGGUAGCUGUGUGAGCUUCUAGGACUAUUUGGUAGCUGGGUACCCAAGUUUUUGGCAAGGAAGCUGGGUCUGGGGCCUUGAAUGAUGAGCCCUUAUUCUUCUUGCAAUGCCUACUGUUCGGCAGGCUUCCUUCUUCUUAUUUUUUUAUUUUUUUUAUUUUUUUAUUAUUUAAGUCUUGGGCCUUGGAAAUUGAGUGCAUCAGCAAGGGAGUGGCUCGUGGGCCUCCAGGUGUUAGAGCGGGUUGUGACCAUGUCUUGACUUUGGGAGGAAAGGGGGUGGGCCUUUUUUGUUUCGGCAGCGUAGCUGGGCCACUUUUGGGCCUAGGCAGGGCCUUAGGGUCUAGAAUUUAGAGAGGCAUUCAGCACCAUGGGCCUAUGGAUUAAUUCGAAAGGACCUGGGGUCUUUUUUCUUAGAGUGGGCUGAGCCACGGAGAUAUUUGUUGGGGCUAGGGUUAAGAUUUGUGAGAGGGGUGUAAAUAAGUUUCUAUAGCUCUUGCCGUUCGGCAAGAAAUAGCUGGGACCUUUUUGUAGCUGGGUCUGGCAGUAUCCCUUCGGCAAGGACCUUCUUUCGGCAAUUGGAGCUCUUCUUUCCUUCGGCAAGGGUGUUGGGUUCCAAGGCAAGGUUAAGCUGGGUUUUGGGGGUUCUUGCCGAUCGGCAAGGUUGUUUUCGAAGGAGUUGGUCCUUCAGCAGUCGGGCACUUCAUUGAAGUUUCGGUAGGAGGGUGAAGCCGGGCUGCAUGGGUAUUUCGGUAAGAAUUGGUUUUGCUACAGCAGCUUUUGUGGGCGCGCAUUGGAUAGUUUGGCAGCAGUCCCUGCCAAACGGCAGGGUUGGCAUGAGUUUUGUUGAAAGGUUCGUGAGCUAAAGAGGGUGAACUAUUCGUGUGGCUACGAUUCCAGCAUAGCUUCGGCAAGGUAACAUUCUUGCGUCCCUGUUUUUUGUUCGUUCUCGGACCUUGCCGUUCGGUAAGCUUGACUUUGAGCCUUGAUUAUUGCUUUCCAAGCUUCAGCAAGACAGUGGGGUCGGCAAGGGUGUCCAGAGUAAAUUUAAAUUGUUUGUGUUUAAAGGGUGGGGCUGGGCAUAAGUUGGAGUCGGGCCCUUUGUGGUGGCACGGAUUUGAACUGGGUCACCAUAGCUUCGGUAGCAACUGGGCUAUAUGACCCGGGUCUAUUAAGGUACGCAUUUUUUCGCAGCUCCUCCUUUUGGUUUGUUCAUCCCUUGCCGUUCGGCAAUGGGGGGUUGAGAGAUUUAUUUUGCUGUUUUUUAUGUUUAGCAAUUUGUGAAAUCGAAAAAAUUUGGUGUCGGCAGAAGUGCUUGGCUAGGCUACACGAACCGAGCGAGGUGCUGAAGUGUGAGAAGGGACUUGAGGACUUAGAGCUGGGUCUUGUGAAGGUAAAAUAUAUAUAUAUAUUUUUUUUGGCAGAGCUGGGCUCGUGGGUUAGAGCUGGGGUCUUUGAUUUGUGAGCUGUGGUAAGCUUGGGCCUGCCAGGUUGUGCUGGGGUGAGCUUGGUCCUUCAUGCUAGUUCCUCACUUGUUAUAAAGAACCUAAAUUGCUUUGAUGGUUGUUUGACUUUGCAGCAGGGGAUGUAGACUUGCUGUGAAUUUCGUGGGUUUCUAAAUAAUUCUGCACGGCCCUUGCCAUUUGGCAAGGCAUAAGGAAUUUGCUGAGUCUUGACUCGGCGAGAGUGCUUUUGUCGUAGCUUCACCGUUGUAUCUGGGAGCUAGGCCCUUGGAUUUAUGUCAAGAACUUUGGCAAGAUAGGCCCAAGAGGUAUUGGAGCUAGGCCAUUGGCGUGUUGGUGGUGCCUAAUCCCUUAACAAGAGCAAGACCACCCUUACGUACGUGUCUUCGGGUGUUUUAGUGUAGGUGAGUUUGGAGCUGGGCCUCUUCGGUCGCCACUUGGUAGCUGGGCCUUGAUUUCGGUAAAGGUAAGAAUUUUAUGACCUCCCAAAAUAAGUUUUCAUGGGACUUGCCCAUUUCGAAAUGGUGGUAACUUUGGUUUUUGUAGGCUUGAAGGGCUUGGUUUCGGAGCUUGGUUUGAGCUUGUAACUUCUUUCAAGAGGCUAGGCCUCUCGAUUUUUGUUUUUUGAACCUUGGUGGGCGUUUAGCUGGGUCCCGAAGGUUUAGGCAAUAGCCGGGGUGUCUUGGGGCUUCGGCAAGACAAGGAAGAAAUCGGAGCUGAGCCUUUAGAGCUAGGCCUGCGUCAGAGCUGGGUCAUUAGACUCUUGGCAAGAGCUGGGCUUCUUAAAGCUAGGGCACGGAUUUUGUUGCUUUACUUUUAGAAAAAAGGUGAAUGGUAAGCCCUCCCGUUUUACUUCCACGGGUCUUGCCUUUCGGCAAGGUCCCUUUGAAAUCUCUUCGCUGCUUUUUUUUGUUUAAAAUAUGAAUUUCAAAUUAUGUGUAGGUACAAGAAAUUUGAGGGGAAGUGAGGGGGUGCUAGGGUUUUCUCAUGAACCGAGGCGUGGGUACCCUUGGUUCGUUAUAAAUAGGAACUUGGGGUGGCUAAGGCACUACACCUGAGUUUUGGAGAAAAAGUGCUAGAAAGUGAGAAGGAGAAGAAGAUUUCCGCCGAGGUUUGGUGGUGGUGCUUGUGGCCAAGGUGAUUUCCGGCGAUUCUUUCGUGGUGGUGCAAACAAGGUUAGGCCCUGUUUCUUUGAAAAUUUUGAAUUGAAAUGUCUUUCUUUGUAUGAACAUGUUGAAGGCUAGGAAGAACACCUUGAAUAUGAGCAUGAACAUGAUGAACACGUUGAACAUUGAGAUGAACAUGUUGAGUGCCUGUUUGUAAACCAAAAGACAUGUAGAUUAUCCAUCUUUUUAUGUUGUUGUGUUUCAAUCCUCCUUGCAUGUGCAUUAGUUCCUUUUUCUUAUUUUUGCAUAUUGUAGAUGUCUGAAAAUUCUGAUAGAGAAAGUCAUGAACCCCCUGCUUUUGGUGGGGAUGAUACUAAGAGUGAAGAGCCCAUCCAAUAUAUUUGUUAUGAAGAGGAGAGUUUAGAGACAGAGGGUGUGGUAGAAGGUAUUAUAGAAAGUAGGGUGGUAGGGCAUGAGGGUGAGGGGGGUGAGCCAUCAGUAGACUCCGGGUCAGCUGCAUAUAGGGAGAUGUAGAGGAACUAUAUAGAGUUAGAGGCUAUAGCGAACCGAGUUCUAGCCUUGCCUCAUACGCUAGAGGUGGGUUCGAGCAACCAGGCAUCACCAUCGGGGUCCGUGAGUAUAGCCGUGGCCUCAGUUUCAGAGGGAGUGGACAUUCGGGUUGGUGUCCUUUUGGUGAGGCGGAACACCCUUACAGAAGCAAAGUUGGCCCAGCUUCGGACAAACUAUUGUGUUCCACCCUAUGUGGGCUUGAGGUUACCCACUGCAGCUGAUGUGAUUAGAUAUCCUUCGAAUGGCUCUGUGAUGAUUUUUACGGAUAUGUACUGGCAUGGCUUCAGACUACCAUUUCAUCCAUGGGUGCAGAUGACGUUGGCUAAGUUGGGAUAUGCGCCGGGGCAGUAUAAUCCCAACAUUUGGAUUCUUCUUUAUGGAGUUUACAUCGCUUGGUGGCUGGGUGGGUUGAGGGAGCCAACAUUUGAGCAGUUCAUGUACUUGUACUCGGUUUCGAAACAACAGGGAAGUUUUGGCUGGGCACAGGCCAAUUGCCGAAAGGCGAUGGGUUAUUUUAUUAGUCGCAAGCCAUCUACGCAAAAGUCUUGGAGGAACAAGUGGUGCAUGGUUCAUGGUGACUAGGAGUGUCCGCCAGGGAAGACCUUUACCCAACACAUUCCUACCCACUUCCAGUCUAUAGGUCCUUGGCCCCAUCCCUUAAGACUGUUUGGUGUUUGAUUUUCUUUUUCCUGUUCUCACUCUUGGUUCUUUAUUUUUACGUGUGCAAGUGUAAAUGACUAAGUAGUAUCUAACCUUUGGUGUAGAUUUGGUGAAGUGGGGGCCUAUCUCCAAGGAGCAAGAAGACUAUGUUGAGAGGGUGAGGUCACAGUUAUCAGAGACCGAGAGUGAGUGCCAAAACCUAGUCACCCAAAAAAAUUUGUUGGAGUCUAGACUUCUGCAAGGAAGUAAGUACCUGGGUCACUUUUGUUGUUUGUCUUCUGAUUCCCUUGUGGUUGCGACUAACAUAGUUUUGUUAUUUUUGAUGUGCAGUGGCGGGUAUUAUAAAAGGGAGCACGAAGGUGGUAGUAGAUAUUGAUGAUGCCGAGAUACAGAAGCGGCUAAGGGAGUCUCAGGCCAAGAAGGCGGAGCAGGGGACUGGGAAGCACCCUAGAGAUAAUGAUGAGUGCCGGGUUGUUGACAUGUUGGGAAAGAGGAAGGCCUUGGAGGAAGCUUAUCAGCAUGUGAUGGGGGCGGGACCGAGACUUCCUCCCUUUGAUCUGCAGGCGCCGCCGAAGCUCCCCUUUGGCAUGGAGGACAUUUUUGCUGAAGGGGUGGAGAAUGUGGACUUCGGCAAACUACGUUAGUAGAAGGAGGUGAACUUAGCCAUGCAUCGGCAGGAGGUGCCCCUGGUGAACGUCUUCCUAGAAGGCAUGAAGAGUGACCCCAAGGCCCUGGCGAGGACCCCGGCCUCUUCCUAUAUAAAUCGGGCCUAGAAGACGAUCCUCACUUCUGCCUAUGUAAGUUGUGACUUUGUUUGUGAAUUUUUUUGUAUCAUUCUUGUUUGGUCUGACUGAUGUUGUUUUGUUUUGCAGGCCUUUGCGAGAUGUAUGUCAGCAUGGCCAAGGUAGAUAAAGAGAUCCAGAGGCUGAAGAGGCGUGAUGAGAUGGCUAAGAGCAAAAUGGCGGAGGUGCAGGAGGCCAUCCGGGAGAAAAACACCCUGCUGUUGCAAAAGGCGGCCCUAGCCAAGGAGGUGGAGGAGCUAAAGCGGUCGAAGGCCGAGGAGGUAGCUGCUGCCCGAGUCAAAGCGAUCGAGUCGUUCCGAACUUUAGAAGAGCUGAAGAGUUAGAUCAUGGACCAACUAGUGGAUGAGCAGCUUCACUUAAAGGAUAGGCUGGUUAGGUUCAACCCCUCGGUUGAGAUUAACUUUGAUACGAGUGGCGAGCCUCCUGCACCUAGUCCCACUACGGAUGCUACUGCUCUGACGCCAGAGGUAGAGCCAGCCACUGGGGAUGCCUCCUCUACUGAGUCUUGAAGGCGUUGCCUUCUUUAUGUAUUCUAGCUACCAUGUUGGAACACUUGAUGUUUAUUUUUGCUUUGUAUGAACAUGUUGCCUUGUGUGAAGCAAGGUUAUUUUGAUUUCCUAUGAUAUGAGACUUGUUGUCAUAUGGUAUCAGUUGUGCUAGCAAAAUGAUAAUUAUGUGAGUCAUAGGAAUUAGCCAGAGUCAGGCGUUUCAUUCAAAUAAGUGCCGAAAGGCAGAUGGUACAAGAGUUGGUUGAGUCAAGGCUCAAGACCGAAGUAUAAGAGAACAUAUUGUCCUAGGGUCUAGGUAUGUUUACUUAUAGUAGUACUUGAGGUGAUUAGCGUUCCAAGGAUGAGGCAACGUCUUGCCCUUGGGAUUACGAAGCUAAUAAGUGCCGGGAUGACAGAUUUUGAUAAUCUCAUAAGGACCUUCCCAUGUGGGGCCUAAGGUACCUUCAGUAGGAUUUUUGGUGGCCAAGGAAACCUUGCGCAUGACCCAGUCCCCCAUUUUGAAAGCACGGGGCUUGACUCGGGAGUCGUAGUAUUUGGCGAUGCGCUGUUUGUAUGCGACAUUGCACAUGUUGGAUUGGUUACGGAGCUCUUCAAUGAAGUCGAGGUUUAGGGCUAACUGCUCGUCAUUGGCCUUGGCAUCAUAAGUGGAGGUUCGGUAUGUGGGCUAGCCAAUCUCCACUAGUGCCACGGCUUCGGUACCAAAUGAAAGAGAGAACGGUGUUUCUCCUGUGGAGGUACAGAAGGUGGUGCGGUAGGACCAGAGAAUCUCUAGAAGUAGCUCUGGCCAGCAGCCUUUGGCUUUGUCAAGUUUGGUCUUUAGGGUCUUCUUGAUAAUUUUGUUCACGGCUUCGACCUGGCCAUUGGACUAAGGAUGGGCUGGUGAUAAGUCCAUAAAUAUACUCAUUUAUGUACUCUUUUUACUUUGGUUUUGUAAGAGAAUUAGAUUUAAAAAGGGCUUAUUACUUUAUUUUUCUGAUUUUCAGCUUUUCUGCGCUCUUAGAAGGUUUUUAAGGGAAAAUCAACUUUUCGGAGGAAUUUUAGCGCAAGACCAAUUGGAGAUGAAAGCUAACAUCUUGAAGUUCAAUCUAUGAUUUUUCUAGAAUUUUCUACCAAGCCAAUUGGUACAGUAUUGCAAGUAAAGUUAGCCCACGUGCAGACAGGACAGUUUCGUACAUGUUACGUGAAUGUGAAGAAACGGAAGCCUUUCCGAAUUUUUCAAGUUACGUGCUAUAUAUGGUUGGAAAGAUAAGACAUUUAUCUUUCUAAAAUAUAUUUUUAAUAAUUUUUCUACAAGGUCGAAGAUCCCCAAAUCGUGUGAACAUUGGGCUGAGCUGUAUUUCCCAGUGGAGUUAGGAAUUGUGAUUUUUACUUUCCUAUUUGGAUUCCUUGUUUACCAAGACUUCUUGGACGACUUUUCAGUCAAUUUUAGGGUUUAGAACUCUGAUAUAAGUGAUAUAAAAGAUGAGCCAAGGCCUGAAGAAAAGCAUUCACGUCCUAAAGAGAUCAACGGCGCAAGAGGAGAAAGCUGCGAACGAGUUCUUUCUUUUC
rnacentral:lncRNA from 1 species